rnacentral:rRNA from 1 species
UACGGAGGGUGCAAGCGUUAAUCGGAAUUACUGGGCGUAAAGCGCACGCAGGUGGCUGAGUCAGUCGAUUGUGAAAGCCCUGGGCUUAACCUGGGAACUGCGUCGGAUACUGGAUGGCUUGAAUUCGGGAGAGGGAUGCAGAAUUCCAGGUGUAGCGGUGAAAUGCGUAGAUAUCUGGAGGAAUACCGGUGGCGAAGGCGGCAUCCUGGACCGGCAUUGACGCUGAACGGCGAAAGCUAGGGGAGCAAACGGG